rnacentral:rRNA from 1 species
GGCUGAAAUUCGCCUUCAUGAAGCUGGAAUUGCUAGUAAUGGCAGGUCAGCAUACUGCCGUGAAUACGUUCCCGGGCCUUGUACACACCGCCCGUCACACCAUGAGAGUUGAGAAUACCCGAAGUCCAUGUCAAAGUGGCCGAAGGUAGGCUUGAUGAUUGGGGUGAAGUCGUAACAAGGUAGC